rnacentral:rRNA from 1 species
GCCCGCUCAGAAACUACAAAGGAAGUUGACGGGGGCCCGGCGACAAGCGGUGGAGUAUGUGGUUUAAUUCGAUGCAACGCGAAGAACCUUACCUGGUCUUGACAUCCCGGAGACCCUUAGGAAACUAGGGGUGCUUCCAUCUGGAAGAAUCUGGAGACAGGUGCUGCAUGGCUGUCGUCAGCUCGUGUCGUGAGAUGUUGGGUUAAGUCCCGCAACGAGCGCAACCCUUGCCUUUAGUUGCCAGCAGUUCGGCUGGGCACUCUAAAGGGACUGCCGGUGUUAAACCGGAGGAAGGUGGGGAUGACGUCAAGUCCUCAUGGCCUUUAUGACCAGGGCUACACACGUACUACAAUGGCCGAUACAAAGGGCAGCGACACUGCGAGGUGAAGCCAAUCCCGUAAAAUCGGUCUCAGUCCGGAUUGGAGUCUGCAACUCGACUCCAUGAAGUUGGAAUCGCUAGUAAUCGUGGAUCAGCAUGCCACGGUGAAUACGUUCCCGGGCCUU